UACGGGGGGGGCAAGCGUUGUUCGGAAUUACUGGGCGUAAAGGGCUUGUAGGCGGCCAACUAAGUCAGACGUGAAAUCCCUCGGCUUAACCGGGGAACUGCGUCUGAUACUGGAUGGCUUGAGAUUGGGAGAGGGAUGCGGAAUUCCAGGUGUAGCAGUGAAAUGCGUAGAUAUCAGGAGGAAUACCGAUGGCGAAGGCAGGUCUCUGGGCUGACACUGACGCUCAUGCACGAAAGCGUGGGGAGCAAACAGG
rnacentral:rRNA from 1 species